ensembl:lncRNA
GAGGUAGAUAUGUAUAGGGGGAAGGAGACAGGGAUACUGGAGUGAUGGAGGUAGAUAUGUAUAGGGGGAAGGAGACAGGGAUACUGGAGUGAUGGAGGUAGAUAUGUAUAGGAGACAGGGAUACUGGAGUGAUGGAGGUAGAUAUGUAUAGGGGGAAGGAGACUAGGAAUCACGAUCAAAGAUAAACAGAGUAGCAGUGUGUGUGUGUAUAGAGUGUCAGUAUAAAUGUUUGUGCUUAUUAUUUGUGAGUGACAAAAUGGAGUGUGUGUGUGUUGCAGUCUGUGUUUUGUAGUGUGUGUGCGUCUGUGUGUUGUAGUGUGUGUGUGUGUGUGUGUGUGUGUAGUGUGUUUUGUAGUGUGUGUGUGUGUGUGUUGUAGUGUGUGUUGUAGUGUGUGUUGCAGUCUGUGUUUUGUAGUGUGUGUGCGUCUGUGUGUUGUAGUGUGUGUGUGUGUGUGUGUGUGUGUGUAGUGUGUGUGUGUGUGUGUGUGUGUGUGUGUGUGUUGUAGUGUGUGUGUUGUAGUGUGUGUUGUAGUGUGUGCGUAAGAGUGUAGGGCCCCUGUGAGUGUCUAUAGAGAGACUAGCUGAUUAUUGAGUUGUGGCUGUCAGUGAAUAGC